CCUGAGAGAUGAUCAGGUAGAUAGGUCAGAAGUGGAAGUGCAGUGAUGUACGGAGCGGACUGAUACUAAUCGAUCGAGGACUUAACCAAAA
rnacentral:rRNA from 1 species